AUUGAACGCUGGCGGCAUGCCUUACACAUGCAAGUCGAACGGCAGCACGGGAGCAAUCCUGGUGGCGAGUGGCGAACGGGUGAGUAAAGUAUCGGAACGUGCCCAGUCGUGGGGGAUAACGUAGCGAAAGUUACGCUAAUACCGCAUACGCUCUAUGGUUGAAAGCGGGGGAUCGCAAGACCUCGCGCGAUUGGAGCGGCCGAUAUCAGCUUAGGUAGUUGGUGGGGUAAAGGCUCACCAAGCCGACGAUCUGUAGAUGGUCUGAGAGGACGACCAGCCGAACAGGGACUGGGACCCGGCCCAGACGCCUUCGGGAGACAGCAGUGGGGAAUUUUGGACAAUGGGAGAAAGCCUGACCCAGCCAUGCCGCGUGCAGGAUGAAGGCCUUCGGGUUGUAAACUGCUUUUGUACGGAACGAAAAGGUUUGGCCUAAUAAGCUGAGCUUAUGACGGUACCGUAAGAAUAAGCACCGGCUAACUACGUGCCAGCAGCCGCCGUAA
rnacentral:rRNA from 1 species